CCCUUAGAUGUUCUGGGCCGCACGCGCGCUACAAUGAUGCAGGCAACGAGUGCCGCUCCUUAGCCGAAAGGCUUGGGGAAUCUUGAAAACUGCAUCGUGCUAGGGAUAGAUGAUUGCAAUCGUGCAUCUUGAACGAGGAAUGCCUUGUAAGCGUGAGUCAUCAACUCGCGCUGAAUACGUCCCUGCCCUUUGUACACACCGCCCGUCGCUCCUACCGAUUGGAUGGUCCGGUGAACUGGUCGGACUGCUGUUUGAAAUUGCGGGUGCAGUUGAUUCACGGGAAGUCUAGUAAACCUUNUNAUCUAUNGGAAGGAGAANUCGUANCA
rnacentral:rRNA from 1 species